rnacentral:lncRNA from 1 species
AAAACUUAAAAGCAAUACCCGCUCUAGCUCGUUAUCAGUUAACACUUAAUUGAAAGAUCCAACAAACAAAGGCAAAUAUAUUUGAUACUCACGUAAUAUUCUCCCCUCCAAAUUUAUAUCUCGUCUUCACCAAAAAAGCCACCACCGCAGCACCACACAAAACAACAGACGAAAUCCCCAAGGUGAUAAUGGACGUCAAUCCAACUUCUACAGUGAGGAGAAGGAAGAGCUCUUGACAUUCGUUUAUGUGCCUUGUCUAUGGCAUCUGUUAGUGAUUCACCCGUUUUAGCACCCGGGCAACAGCACUUGGACAGGGGAUUGCAGAUUGCUGAUAGAAAAAUACGUGUUGGUAACUGCAAAUGUUAACUGUCAAAUCAAUC